rnacentral:lncRNA from 1 species
UGGCUGUGAUAAGGCAAAGUAGCUCACGUCUCACCCUAGAGAGACCACCAAGUGCUGCAGCGGUGUUAAUGGGUUUCUGAGGGAAUUAUGUCCAAGUCCUCCACUUGUCCAGAAAAAGGUUUUACAAGACAAUGCAAGAAUGGAGGGUAAUUAAUAGGGGAGAUUUAGCUGGAACCCAAAGAGCACUUUCACACAUAAAACUAGAAUCGCUAAGCUGUAUGGUGGGUAGGUAGUGCUAUGUAGUUCAGUGUUAAAAGGGCUUUUCAGACUUUGAGGUGUGAGCAGCCAUUGUCUGACUGUACGAGAAUGAACCUCAGCUCCCUUCUCCUGUGUGACAGGGAGCUGGGGAGCAAUCUCUAAGAGCAUCCAGCCCACCUAACACGGAGAUGGUCCUACUGAGACGUGACAGAUGCUCGCCCCUUGCUGCAGUUAAGUUAGGGAGACUCUAUGAAAGCUGAAGCUUCUGAGUAAAUCAGAGAAAGAAAGAAAAGCCAGAUGUCAGGUGUCCCAACGGCUAAGCAAGGCAAAGACCAGCAGGUAGAGCAGACUCCCUGUUCCCUGCCUCCAAAUGCAGAAGACUUCUGGGAUCAGUUGCUUCAAGCCACAUGAGAGAAUGCACUAGGAGCUUGUUAAGAAAUGCGCUUUUCUACACUUAUUUAGAGCUACCAGCCGAUGUGGCAGAAAGCAAAGGACGUCAGCAAGUCUUAUUAAUAUGCUGAUGCUCCGGCUUCACAAGUGUGCAGAAUGCCCAUUUGGAUCAGGGCUAAGAGCACAGCGUGGCGUCGCCAUGGAAACACGGGGAGGCCAUUAAUUAGCCAUCACACGAAAUGAUCGGGAGGAAUCUGGACCACGGCAGCCUUACCCUCGGAGGAGGAGGCCAAGGGCACAGCCCUGGUGACCUCGUGGCCUCCCCUCCGCAGCUUCAGCCACCGCCACGUCCCGGAGUGACGACUUCGUGCGGGAGGUGUGAAAGGGAAGCCCAAGACAGACAGAGACUUGCCUGCUAUUGCAAAAUCUGCACAGAACUGGGACCUGUGUCUGUCUGA